rnacentral:rRNA from 1 species
GACGAACGCUGGCGGCGUGCUUAACACAUGCAAGUCGAACGAAGAGGACCGGGCUUUGUCGGUCUGACGAGUGGCGAACGGGUGAGUAACACGUGAGCAACCUGCCCUUCACUCUGGGAUAACCUCGGGAAAUCGGGGCUAAUACCGGAUAUGAGCUCCUGUCGCAUGGCGGGGGUUGGAAAGUUUUGCGGUGUAGGAUGGGCUCGCGGCCUAUCAGCUUGUUGGUGAGGUAGUGGCUCACCAAGGCGAUGACGGGUAGCCGGCCUGAGAGGGUGACCGGCCACACUGGGACUGAGACACGGCCCAGACUCCUACGGGAGGCAGCAGUGGGGAAUAUUGCACAAUGGGCGAAAGCCUGAUGCAGCGACGCCGCGUGCGGGAUGACGGCCUUCGGGUUGUAAACCGCUUUCGGCUGUGACGAAGCGAGAGUGACGGUAAUGGGUGAAGAAGCGCCGGCUAACUACGUG